CUGAUUUUUCGUUGUUAGUUUAUGUUUUCUGCGUUAAAUUUUUUGUUUUCUAGGUAGUUUUUGUUGUGUCUUGUGUAUAGUUUUGCAUGUUUCUCUUGAUUUCUGGACUUGGUUUAGGUUGUAGACUUGUCUUUCACUCCAUUGAUACUUUGAUUUGUUUAAAAUCCUUGCUUUUCUCUGCUUGGAAGAUGAUUAUGAUGGUUGAGAGGUUGAUUUGAUUGUGACAAAUGCCCUGUGUGAGAUUUGAGCCACUUGAUAUUCUUUCUUGUGUGUGAUAUGUCUCUUGAUUGCUUGCACAUAUGCUUUGGCUUGACUCUUUUUGAUGAUUCUUGAUUUAUAUGCAUGUUUGAAAGUGAUAAAGGCAGUUUUGUUGUUGAGCCUCUCUAGCCAAAUGAGCCUACCUUGUUGUCAUCCUUUGACAGCCCCUUUGAGCCUAUGCUUUUCCCAUUUCUUUGUUUUGAAGCUGAUACACUAGCCCUAAGUGAAAAACCAUGAUUACCUUGACGUUAGGGAAUUUUGGAGCUUUGGAAUUGUUUUGGGAAUAAGUGUGGUCUCCUUGGGGAUUCAGAUGAAUUGGCUAGUUGGUUCCUCUUCUUGUUUUUGUUUUUGAGAAUAUGUUGUGUAUCUUGUCUCUUAGAGUUGUGUUCUGAAAAGAGAGAAAAGAAAAGAGACAAGAUGAAAAAAAAAGAGAGAAAAACAAAUACAGAAAAAUGAGAAAAAUUAAAAAAAAAAAUUGUUGUGCAUAAUGGAGUCAAGAAGAGGAUUGAAUUAGAGGGUUUGGGUGUGAUUUGAUUGUAUUUUCACUUGUUCCCCAUUGUUCCUCUAUUCCUUUUGGUUUGUAGCUUCUCAUCCAUAUUUAUCCUCCCUUGUCCUUGGCCCCAUUACAUCCAUAAAAGACCUUUUGAUUUGAACAUGCAUAUAUGUUUUGAGUGUUGAUAUUAGAGGCUUGCCAAGUCUGUUUGUGUUUGCUUUCUUGAGUGCAUUGAGUUGACAUUGUUUAUCCUAGACACUUCAGAGAAACACUGAUGGUGUGCAUCUGUGAGAUUAUGUCAUUUCUGUUUCACCUCUUGAACUGAUUGAUCGUUUUGUCAUGCUUUGAAUUGCUUGGAUGAUUUCUCUGAGUAUCUAGUUUCCUUGAUUUUGUGUUGGAUACUGUCUACUUCCUUUCUUUGUCCAGAUUUCUUGAGGAUUGUGUAAUUCUGUUUCUUUCCUUGUUAGUCUCUGUUUUUUGUGUGUUGAGUCUGUGUCAAUUCCCUGAUGUCCUCAGAGCUGUUCCCUGUUUUGCGUCUUGAUUUUGCCCGGGAGUGCAAAAGACUAAGUGUGGUCUAUUUUGAUGAGUCGAUAUUUUCUUGACUUUACUU
rnacentral:lncRNA from 1 species